UACAGAGGUCUCAAGCGUUGUUCGGAUUCAUUGGGCGUAAAGGGUGCGUAGGCGGCGGGGCAAGUCAGGUGUGAAAUCUCGGAGCUCAACUCCGAAACUGCACUUGAUACUGCCUUGCUGGAGUACUGGAGAGGAGAUUGGAAUUUACGGUGUAGCAGUGAAAUGCGUAGAUAUCGUAAGGAAGACCAGUGGCGAAGGCGAAUCUCUGGACAGUUACUGACACUGAGGCACGAAGGCCAGGGGAGCAAACGGG
rnacentral:rRNA from 1 species